GCAUUCUUAGCUCAGUUGGUAGAGCAACUGACUCUUAAUCAGUGGGUCCGGGGUUCGAGUCCCCGAGAGUGUACCA
rnacentral:tRNA from 1 species